UACGGAGGAUGCAAGCGUUAUCCGGGUUUAUUGGGCGUAAAGCGUCCGCAGGUGGUUUUCCAAGUCUGCUGUUAAAGCGCGAGGCUUAACCUCGUACAGGCAGUGGAAACUGGAUGACUAGAGUAUGGUAGGGGUAGCGGGAAUUCCCAGUGUAGCGGUGAAAUGCGUAGAUAUUGGGAAGAACACCAGCGGCGAAAGCGCGCUACUGGGCCAUUACUGACACUCAUGGACGAAAGCUAGGGGAGCGAAUGGG
rnacentral:rRNA from 1 species